rnacentral:rRNA from 1 species
UACGUAGGGGGGCGAGCGUUGUCCGGAUUUAUUGGGCGUAAAGAGCUCGUAGGCGGCUAAGUAAGUCAGGUGUGAAAACUCCAGGCUCAACCUGGAGACGCCACCUGAUACUGCUUUGGCUAGAGUCCGGGUAGGGAGCAUGGAAUUCCUGGUGUAGCGGUGAAAUGCGCAGAUAUCAGGAGGAACACCAGUGGCGAAGGCGGCCACCUGGACGGAUACUGACGCUGAGACGCGAAAGCGUGGGUAGCAAACAGG